UACGGGAGGCAGCAGUGGGGAAUAUUGCACAAUGGGCGCAAGCCUGAUGCAGCCAUGCCGCGUGUAUGAAGAAGGCCUUCGGGUUGUAAAGUACUUUCAGUCGUGAGGAAGGUGUUAAGGUUAAUAACCUUAGCAAUUGACGUUAGCGACAGAAGAAGCACCGGCUAACUCCGUGCCAGCAGCCGCGGUAAUACGGAGGGUGCGAGCGUUAAUCGGAAUUACUGGGCGUAAAGGGCACGCAGGCGGUUAAUUAAGUUGGAUGUGAAAUCCCCGGGCUUAACCUGGGAAUGGCAUUCAAGCUGGUUAGCUAGAGUCUUGUAGAGGGGGUAGAAUUCCAUGUGUAGCGGUGAAAUGCGUAGAGAUGUGGAGGAAUACCGGUGGCGAAGGCGGCCCCUGGGACAAAGACUGACGCUCAUGUGCGAAAGCGUGGGGAGCAAACAGGGAUUAGAUACC
rnacentral:rRNA from 1 species